AAGCAACGCGAAGAACCUUACCUAGACUUGACAUCUCCUGAAUUACUCUUAAUCGAGGAAGUCCCUUCGGGGACAGGAAGACAGGUGGUGCAUGGUUGUCGUCAGCUCGUGUCGUGAGAUGUUGGGUUAAGUCCCGCAACGAGCGCAACCCUUAUUGUUAGUUGCUACCAUUAAGUUGAGCACUCUAGCAAGACUGCCGUGGUUAACGCGGAGGAAGGUGGGGAUGACGUCAAAUCAUCAUGCCCCUUAUGUCUAGGGCUACACACGUGCUACAAUGGUGAGUACAAAGAGACGCAAUACCGUGAGGUGGAGCAAAACUCAAAAACUCAUCCCAGUUCGGAUUGUAGGCUGCAACUCGCCUACAUGAAGUUGGAGUUGCUAGUAAUCGCGAAUCAGAAUGUCGCGGUGAAUACGUUCCCGGGCCUUGUACACACCGCCCGUCACACCAUGAGAGCUGGUAACACCCGAAGUCCGUGAGGUAACCGCAAGGAGCCAGCGGCCGAAGGUGG
rnacentral:rRNA from 1 species